GAUGUACGCUGACAGAAUGCUUAACACAUGCAAGUCUUUGGCGAAGCUGUGCUUGCACAGCCUAGCCAAGGCGGACGGGUGAGUAACGCGUAAGGAACUUGCCCUGCGGUCAGGGAUAACAGACGGAAACGACUGAUAAGACCUGGUAAAGUCAGGCGGACUCAUGUCCAGCCUGAUGAAAAGAGAUGCUGCAGGAGAGCCUUGCGUCCUAUUAGCUUGUUGGUGGGGUAACGGCCCACCAAGGCGAUGAUAGGUAGCCGGCCUGAGAGGGUGGACGGCCACAAGGGGACUGAGAUACGGCCCUUACUCCUACGGGAGGCAGCAGUGGGGAAUAUUGGACAAUGGGGGCAACCCUGAUCCAGCAAUUCUGUGUGCACGAUGAAGGUUUUCGGAUUGUAAAGUGCUUUCAGCAGGGAAGAAAAAAAUGACGGUACCUGCAGAAGAAGCGACGGCUAAAUACGUG
rnacentral:rRNA from 1 species